rnacentral:rRNA from 1 species
GAUGAACGCUGGCGGCGUGCCUAAUACAUGCAAGUCGAGCGAACGGACGAGAAGCUUUCUUCUCUGAUGUUAUCGGCGGACGGGUGAUUAAUACGUGGAUAACCUACUUCUAAGACUUGGAUAACUUCGGGAUACCGUAGUUACUACCGGAUAAUAUUUUGAACCGCAUGGUUCAAAAGUGAAAGACGGUCUUUCUGUCACUUAUAGAUGGAUCCGCGCUGCAUUAGCUAGUUGGUAAGGUAACGGCUUACCAAGGCAACGAUGCAUAGCCGACCUGAGAGGGUGAGCGGCCACAACGGGAACGAGGAAAGGUCCAGACUUCUAAGGGAGGCAGCAGUAGGGAAUCAUCCGAAAUGGGCGAAAGGCGGAAGGAGCAACGGCGCGUGAGGGGUGAAGGUCUUCGGAGCGUAAAACUCUGUUAGUAGGGAAGAACAGAUGUGUAAGUAACUGUGCACAUCGUGACGAGACCUAAACAAAGCCACGGCUAACUACGUG